ACGGGAGGCAGCAGUGGGGAAUAUUGCACAAUGGGGGAAACCCUGAUGCAGCGACGCCGCGUGAGUGAAGAAGUAUUUCGGUAUGUAAGGCUCUAUCAGCAGGAAAGAAAAUGACGGUACCUGACUAAGAAGCCCCGGCUAACUACGUGCCAGCAGCCGCGGUAAUACGUAGGGGGCAAGCGUUAUCCGGAUUUACUGGGUGUAAAGGGAGCGUAGACGGUAAGGCAAGUCUGAAGUGAAAUGCCAGGGCUCAACCCUGGAACUGCUUUGGAAACUGUCCUACUAGAGUGCAGGAGAGGUAAGUGGAAUUCCUAGUGUAGCGGUGAAAUGCGUAGAUAUUAGGAGGAACACCAGUGGCGAAGGCGGCUUACUGGACUGUAACUGACGUUGAGGCUCGAAAGCGUGGGGAGCAAACAGGAUUAGAUACCCUGGUA
rnacentral:rRNA from 1 species